rnacentral:rRNA from 1 species
GAUGAACGCUGGCGGCGUGCCUAAUACAUGCAAGUCGAACGGAAAAUUCUUGGUACUUGUAUCGGGAGUUUUUAGUGGCGAACGGGUGAGUAACGCGUUGGUGACCUACCCCAAAGUGGGGGAUAACAGAUCGAAAGGUCUGCUAAUACCUCAUGUUGUCAUCGUUUUUAGAAAUCGAUGAUUAAAGGAGCAAUCCGCUUUGGGAGGGGCCUGCGUCCCAUCAGCUAGUUGGUAGGGUAAUGGCCUACCAAGGCGUCGACGGGUAAGGGACCUGAGAGGGUGGCCCCUCACAAUGGAACUGAAACACGGUCCAUACACCUACGGGUGGCAGCAGUAGGGAAUAUUGCACAAUGGACGAAAGUCUGAUGCAGCAACGCCGCGUGUACGAUGAAGGCCUUCGGGUCGUAAAGUACUUUUCAGGGAGAUGAGAAAGGACAG